rnacentral:rRNA from 1 species
CGACAGGCCUAACACAUGCAAGUCAGGGGCAGCACAAGGAGCAAUCUGAGGUGGCGACCGGCGCACGGGUGAGUAACACGUAUGCAACCUGCCUGUAAGCGGGGAAUAACCCGUUGAAAGACGGACUAAUACCGCAUAAUACUAAAUUACUGCAUGGUAAUUAUUUAAACAUUUAUGGCUUACAGAUGGGCAUGCGCAUGAUUAGCUAGUUGGAGAGGUAACGGCUCCCCAAGGCAACGAUCAUUAGGGGUUCUGAGAGGAAGGUCCCCCCACACUGGUACUGAGACACGGACCAGACUCCUACGGGAGGCAGCAGUGAGGAAUAUUGGUCAAUGGACGAGAGUCUGAACCAGCCAAGUCGCGUGCAGGAAGAAUGUCCUAUGGAUUGUAAACUGCUUUUGCAGGGGAAUAAAGUGCAUCACGUGUGAUGUUUUGUAUGUACUCUGCGAAUAAGGAUCGGCUAACUCCGUGCCAGCCGCGGC